UGCCCAGGAGAGAAGCCAGGAAACGAGAUGCACGAGCCACGUUGAGUCCCAAUGUCAGUACUAUUGUGUAUGACGGAUUCAAGCAACAAAAGGCUUAAAUCAACAACGGUGUGCUUUGUGACUGCCAAGACGACUCAACAUAGCCCUGAACAGGCUACAGUCACUUUCACUGUUUGUGCAAGUAUGUGGAAGCGUGGGAGACAAAGUGGAGCAAGUGAAUAACAUGAAAGUGCAGCAGGCCACCCAGCAAGAAAAGUCCACGAUGAAGAAGAACUGCAGAAGCUAGGUUGUUCUUAAACCCAUCUACAUCCAUCUCUUUGUGCCACUGUAGUCCAGUGACUCAUGGCUGUCAAGCUGUUAAUGGUACAGAUGUUCAAAUAUAGCUGGAUGGGAUAAUGAACAGUGAACUCAGACAGAAGGUGGGAGAGAACAGAGA